rnacentral:rRNA from 1 species
AUGGCCUCCGCCGCCGCCGCCGAAACCCUCGUCUCGCUCCCCAUCGUGCCCCCCUCCCGGUCGCUCCUGCGCCCCCUCUGCAGGCGACCUGCUUACAGAGGCAGCGCCGCGUCGGUCCGCCUGUCCGCCGUGCCGCCCCGGGGCCUCGGGUUCGCCCUCAUCCAUCGCCGCAUUCGCUGCCCGCCGGCGGCGCGCGCCAACGUCGAGCGCGACGGCGACGGCGCCUCCGGGUCAGGGGAGGCCUCGUCCACCGGGGACGGCGACCGCGACGCGGCGGCGGAGCAAGGAGGUGAUAGCGCGGGCACGAGCACCACCAGCGCGGCCGCGACGCCGCCGUCGUCACCGCCCUCUUCGUCCAAGAGGGGGGAAAACAAGUGGCGCCGGCGGGUGGCUAAGGGCGGCGGUGUUGGCCGAUGGUUUUGGGAGCCCAUAGUGCAGGGCCGGGAGAUGGGGUUCCUCCUGCUACAGCUCGGGUUUGCCAUAUUCGCCCUCCGCAUGCUGCGGCCGGAGAUCACGUUGCCUGGCUCAGAGCCCCGGCCGCAGACCACUUACAUCAGCGUCCCCUACAGCGACUUCCUGGCGAGCAUUGAUAAGGACCAAGUGAAAAAGGUUGAGGUGGAUGGGGUGCACGUUAUGUUCCGGCUCCGUCCAGAGGUUGAGGCCAGCGUGGUGGAGCAGCCACAAACACAAGCAGAUGGCGUUGCUGAUGCUGCCAUUUCGAGGAGAAUCGUCUUCACAACCACACGACCAGUGGACAUUAAGACUCCAUAUGAGAAGAUGGUGGAGAAUAGUGUUGAGUUUGGGUCGCCAGAUAGGAGGUCCGGCGGCAUGCUCAAUUCAGCUUUGGUGGCUCUUAUUUAUGUUGUAUUAAUUGCAGUAGUUCUUCAGCGACUGCCAAUAAGCUUUUCUCAGCAAUCAACAGGCCAGCUGAGGAAUCGAAAGAAUUUGAACUCUGGUGGGGCAAAAGUUUCAGAAACUGCCGAUAUAGUUACAUUCGCUGAUGUGGCUGGAGUUGACGAGGCCAAAGAAGAGUUGGAAGAAAUUGUGGAGUUCCUAAGGAACCCAGAAAAAUAUAUUCGUCUUGGUGCACGUCCUCCUCGAGGUGUCUUGUUGGUGGGCCUUCCAGGAACUGGAAAGACACUCCUUGCUAAAGCUGUAGCAGGGGAAGCGGAAGUUCCUUUCAUAAGUUGUUCUGCAAGUGAAUUUGUGGAGCUAUAUGUAGGCAUGGGAGCAGCUCGAGUACGUGAACUAUUUGCUAGGGCCAAAAAGGAAUCACCGUCAAUUAUUUUUAUUGAUGAGAUUGAUGCCGUGGCAAAAAGUCGUGAUGGCCGGUACCGUAUCGUCAGCAACGAUGAGCGUGAGCAGACACUAAAUCAACUGCUCACGGAAAUGGAUGGUUUUGAUACCAACUCAGCUGUCAUUGUACUUGGAGCAACAAACAGGGCAGAUGUUUUGGAUCCUGCCCUUCGGCGCCCAGGGAGAUUUGACCGUGUAGUCACGGUUGAAGCUCCCGAUAAAUUUGGAAGAGAAUCUAUCCUGAAAGUUCAUGCGAACAGAAAAGAGCUUCCCCUUGGUAAAGAUGUAGAUCUCAGCGGCAUUGCUGCAAUGACAACUGGUUUUACAGGGGCAGACCUUGCUAAUUUAGUGAAUGAAGCUGCUUUGUUGGCUGGAAGAUCAAAUAAAGAAAUAGUGGAAAAGAUCGAUUUCAUCAGCGCGGUUGAGCGCUCUAUAGCUGGCAUAGAGAAAAAACAUGUAAAGCUGAAGGGCAAUGAAAAGGCUGUUGUUGCACGGCAUGAAGUUGGUCAUGCAGUUGUGGGAACUGCUGUAGCAAAUCUGUUGCCAGGCCAGCCACGUGUGGAGAAAUUGAGUAUACUGCCGAGGUCAGGAGGUGCAUUAGGCUUUACAUACACUCCUCCCACGACAGAAGAUAGAUAUUUGCUCUUUGUUGAUGAACUGCGGGGACGUCUGGUAACGCUUCUGGGUGGGCGGGCAGCAGAGGAAAUAGUUCUAGCAGGACGGGUUUCUACUGGGGCACUUGAUGACAUCAGGCGUGCAACUGACAUGGCUUACAAAGCCGUGGCAGAGUAUGGUCUUAAUCAGCGCAUAGGUCCAAUAUCACUAGCUACAUUGUCAAAUGGUGGGCUAGAUGAUUCCGGAGGCUCCCCAUUUGGAAGGGACCAGGGUCAUCUGGUUGAUCUUGUCCAAGGGGAAGUAAAAGCACUUCUACAAUCAGCACUUGAAGUUGCUCUUUCAGUUAUCCGUGCUAAUCCAGCAGUUUUGGAAGGACUUGGAGCAUAUUUAGAAGAGAAUGAAAAGGUUGAAGGGGAGGAACUACAAGAGUGGCUUAAGUCUGUCGUUGCCCCAGAAGAAUUGACCUCUUUUAUCACAGGAAAGCAAGAACAUGUUCUUCAGCUGGAAGUAGGCCUCUAG